CCUACGGGAGGCUGCAGUGGGGAAUAUUGCACAAUGGGGGAAACCCUGAUGCAGCGACGCCGCGUGAGUGAAGAAGUACUUCGUUAUGUAAAGCACUAUCAGAGGGGAAGAAAAUGACGGUAACUGAGUAAGAAGCCCAGGCUAACUACGUGCCAGCAGCCGCGGUAAUACGUAGGGGGCAAGCGUUAUCCGGAUUUACUGGGUGUAAAGGGAGCGCAGACGGCAGUGCAAGUAUGGAGUGAAAGGCGGGGGCUCAACCCCCGGACGCCUCAGGAAACUGUACGGCUGGAGUGCAGGAGAGGGAAGUGGAAUUCCUAGUGUAGCAGUGAAAUGCGUAGAUAUUUGGAGGAACACCAGUGGCGAAGGCGGCUUACUGGACUGUAACUGACGUUGAGGCUCGAAAGCGUGGGGAGCAAACAGGAUUAGAUACCCUUGUAGUC
rnacentral:rRNA from 1 species